rnacentral:rRNA from 1 species
GAUGAACGCUGGCGGCGUGCCUAAUACAUGCAAGUCGAGCGAACAGACGAGGAGCUUGCUCCUCUGACGUUAGCGGCGGACGGGUGAGUAACACGUGGAUAACCUACCUAUAAGACUGGGAUAACUUCGGGAAACCGGAGCUAAUACCGGAUAAUAUAUUGAACCGCAUGGUUCAAUAGUGAAAGACGGUUUUGCUGUCACUUAUAGAUGGAUCCGCGCCGCAUUAGCUAGUUGGUAAGGUAACGGCUUACCAAGGCAACGAUGCGUAGCCGACCUGAGAGGGUGAUCGGCCACACUGGCACUGAGACACGGUCCAGACUCCUACGGGAGGCAGCAGUAGGGAAUCUUCCGCAAAGGGCGAAAGCUUGACGGAGCAACGCCGCGUGAGUGAUGAAGGUCUUCGGAUCGUAAAACUCUGUUAUUAGGGAAGAACAAAUGUGUAAGUAACUAUGCACGUCUUGACGGUACCUAAUCAGAAAGCCACGGCUAACUACGUG